UACGAAGGGGCGAGCGUUGUUCGGAUUUACUGGGCGUAAAGGGCGCGUAGGCGGCCCUCUUUGUCGCGUGUGAAAGCCCCGGGCUCAACCUGGGAAUGGCGCGCGAAACGGGGGGCUUGAGUUCGGGAGAGGAGCGUGGAAUUCCCGAGUGUAGAGGUGAAAGUUCGUAGAUAUUGGGAAGAACACCGGUGGCGAAGGCGGCGACCUGGGUAGAUACUGACGCUGAGGCGCGAAAGGCGUGGGGAGCGAACAGG
rnacentral:rRNA from 1 species